AGAGUUUGAUCCUGGCUCAGAACGAACGCUGGCGGCAGGCUUAACACAUGCAAGUCGAACGCCCCGCAAGGGGAGUGGCAGACGGGUGAGUAACACGUGGGAACGUACCCUUUGGUUCGGAAUAACUCAGGGAAACUUGAGCUAAUACCGGAUACGCCCUUUUGGGGAAAGGUUUACUGCCGAAGGAUCGGCCCGCGUCCGAUUAGCUUGUUGGUGAGGUAAUGGCUCACCAAGGCAUCGAUCGGUAGCUGGUCUGAGAGGAUGACCAGCCACAUUGGGACUGAGACACGGCCCAAACUCCUACGGGAGGCAGCAGUGGGGAAUAUUGGACAAUGGGCGCAAGCCUGAUCCAGCCAUGCCGCGUGAGUGAUGAAGGCCUUAGGGUUGUAAAGCUCUUUUACCUGGGAAGAUCAUGACGGUACCAGGAGAAUAAGCCCCGGCUAACUUCGUG
rnacentral:rRNA from 1 species